CCUACGGGAGGCAGCAGUGAGGAAUAUUGGUCAAUGGCCGUAAGGCUGAACCAGCCCAGUCGCGUGCAGGAAGACGGAUCUAUGGUUUGUAAACUUCUUUUAUAGGGGAAUAAAGGUAUCCACGUGUGGAUAUUUGCAUGUCCCCUCUGAAUAAGCAUCGGCUAACUCCGUGCCAGCAGCCGCGGUCAUACGGCGGAUGCGCGCGUUAUCCGGAUUUAUUGGGUUUAAAGGGUGCGUAGGGUGUUUUUUAAGUCAGCGGUGAAAGGUUGUGGCUCAACCAUAAAAUUGCCGUUGAAACUGGAAGACGUGAGUGUGUUAGAGGUAGGCGGAAUGCGUGGUGUAGCGGUGAAAUGCAUAGAUAUCACGCAGAACUCCGAUUGCGAAGGCAGCUUACUAAGCCAUAACUGACACUGAAGCACGAAAGCGUGGGGAUCAAACAGGAUUAGAUACCCCUGUAGUC
rnacentral:rRNA from 1 species